UAUCACCUCUCAAGCCUGGCUUGUUGUUGGAUCUAGGUCUUGCUUCGGGCGUGACCGGUCCCAAAGAUAAUGAGGCGUCUGUGAGGACCCCAGUACACUGAGCUUUCUUAAGCACGUAUUAGGUGGAAGUCCAGGCCCGGUCUUACUUACAUUUUAUCAAGGUUGACCUCGGAUCAGGUAGGAAUACCCGCUGAACUUAA
rnacentral:misc_RNA from 1 species